rnacentral:ribozyme from 1 species
CAGAUUGGAAGGACAUGUUAAAGAAAUUUAAAAAUACAAUCGCGAAUAGGAGCGGCGAACAAUCUUUUUUUUUUUUUUUUUUUUUUUUUUUUUUUUUUUUU